rnacentral:rRNA from 1 species
CCAUGCAGUGCCUGUAUGAGUGUUUAUACAACGAAACUGCGAAUGGCUCGGUAAAACAGCAAUAAUUUCUUCGAGGAUAAUACUACCGGAUAACCGUAGUAAAGCUAGAGCUAAUACGUUCCAUUGCAGCGCGAGUUUUCCGCUCGUGGUACUAAGUAUUAGGUACAAC